rnacentral:rRNA from 1 species
UACAGAGAGUGCAAACGUUGUUCGGAAUUACUGGGCUUAAAGCGCACGUAGGCUGUGUCGUAAGUGUCAGGUGAAAUCCCACGGCUCACCCGUGGAACUGCUUGGCAUACUGCGAUACUCGAGUGUGGUAGGGGAGAGCGGAACUCCUGGUGGAGCGGUGAAAUGCGUAGAUAUCAGGAGGAACACCGGUGGCGAAGGCGGCUCUCUGGUCCACAACUGACGCUGAGGUGCGAAAGCUAGGGGAGCAAACGGG